rnacentral:rRNA from 1 species
UACGUAGGGUGCGAGCGUUAAUCGGAAUUACUGGGCGUAAAGCGUGCGCAGGCGGUUUUGUAAGCCAGAUGUGAAAUCCCCGGGCUUAACCUGGGAAUGGCAUUUGGGACUGCAAGGCUCGAGUGCGGCAGAGGAGACUGGAAUUCCUGGUGUAGCAGUGAAAUGCGUAGAUAUCAGGAGGAACACCGAUGGCGAAGGCAGGUCUCUGGGCUGACACUGACGCUGAAGCGCGAAAGCUAGGGAGCGAACGGG